UCACUGUUUCAUUGAGAUCUCUGUGGUCACAAAGUCCUUUUUUUUUCAAAUUUUCAUUGGGAUCUCAUGAUGAAGUCUUCAGUUCUCACUGUUUCAUUGGGACCUCUGUGGUCACAAACUCCUUUUUUUUCAAUUUUUCAUUGGGAUCUCAUGAUGAAGUCUUCAGUUCUCACUGUGUCGUUGGGUUCUCUGCAAUAGCAAAGUCCUCGUUCUCACUGUGUCGUUGGGUUCUCUGUGGUGACAAAGCCCUCGGACUUUUCAUGGGUAUCUCAAUGGUCAUGAAGUCCUCAGCCAGCGUCACCUCCUGGC
rnacentral:lncRNA from 1 species